UACAGAGGGGGCAAGCGUUAUUCGGAAUUAUUGGGCGUAAAGGGCGCGUAGGCGGCCAUUCAAGUGACGGGUGAAAGCCCUCGGCUUAACCGAGGGAACUGCCUGUCAGACUGGAUGGCUUGAGACCGGGAGAGGUGAGUGGAAUUCCCAGUGUAGCGGUGAAAUGCGUAGAUAUUGGGAGGAACACCAGUGGCGAAGGCGGGCUCACUGGACCGGAACUGACGCUGAGGCGACGAAAGCGUGGGGAGCAAACAGG
rnacentral:rRNA from 1 species